UCGUAGAGCUCUUUCUCGCUCUUAUUUUCUUUCCACCACCGAAUGGUUUUCUUCAACAAAACCCAUUUGUCAAAAUCAAAAGCAUUCCUUUUUGUGGUUAAAGCUUCAUCCGAUGUUGGGUCAGAAGAGUGUGAGGUAGAGAUUGUACAACCUGAAAGUCAAAGUCUUCACAACGCUGAUAAAGCCAAAGUCUUCACUGUUGGUGAUAAAGUACUUGCCAACAGGAAUGCUAAGUACGAGGAAGCAUUAGAGAAAUUUGAGUCUGUUUUGGGAACAAAGCCAGAGCCCGAUGAAGCAGCAAUGGCACUUUAUAAUGUUGCUUGUUGUUACUCUAAGCUAAACCAGAUUAGGACAAGAGAA